AGAGUUCCAUUGAUAAGCUGAUCUAUGGGUUCAAUACCCAUCAAUGUCAAGAGAAAAAGAUAAUGUGAUGCAUCUCAACUGAUUGAUUGUUUCAGAAGGUUGUGGGAUUUUUUUAAGUUGAAAAUACGGUUACCACACUGAGAAAUUGAAAAAAUAAUCAUAUUUGUAUGUUGGUACCAAGCUUUUAUACAGAAAUUAAAAUAAACUACAUGCCUAAUAUGACUAUUCCAUAGACUGGGAAUAUACUAGGAAAGACACAGAAGCACACACGCAAAGAGGGAAACUGCAUACAUUUAGAUUAUCACAGUGAGCAACUAAGAUUGCUUAUGGCCACCAGAAGUUCUCUAAGUGGCCGAACAACCCUACGGAAGUUGCAGGUGGGCAUGGUGGCAGAUCCGAGCAGCUUUCCUCGCUGGCCGGCUGGUGCUACUACUGAUUUCGUCCUCCCAUUGAUGAAGGUGAUGAUGCAGUAGUCCAAUACAUAUGAAAGCAAGUGGUUUCGUCAUGAAGCAUAUCGUCAUGGUGCAGAUUUGGUUUUCUGAAAUAAGGCAUGAGCAAUUAACAAAAAGAUUCAUCGGAGAUGGCCAGAGAUAUGAAUGCAAACAUGUUAUAAUCACCUUCUUAAAGCAUGCAAACCAGUAAUAUAGGUAACAAACCAUGAGUUCAGCAAGAUUUUGGACACGAAAUAUUAUUUACAUAGCAGGAAAAAGCUUUUGUUGUACAAAACAGUGUCACAAAAAUAUAUCCCAAUAAGAAGCUUGCUUAUUUUCACAUGGUCUGUUUAUAUUUCUGGUAACUAAAACAACAUGGCAAUGAGCAAGAAAAUAAGAGAAUAAAGCUAUAACCAGAUUGUUCAACAAACCUCUAUAGCUUGCAUAUACACCAAUGAAAGCUAGUAAAAAAAGAAGGCACUCAGCAAGCACAAUUCAGAAUUAGAAGUGAGCCUAACCGACGGGAUCAUGGUACUCAACAACGAUAUUUCUGUACAAACCGGAUUAGAACCACAUUUAACUGAAGAAAGUCAUGUUAAUGGAGCAAUAAAGCCUUACAAACAUGGAUAUGAACCGAUGGCACAUGAGCACUCAAUCAAGCAUGAAACAAACCAGCAGGAUAUUGCGGUACAAACUGUAUUAAAACCACAUUUUUUAUGAUGAGCUCCAAAGGAAAACCCCACAAACUGGCUAGCAAUCAGAACAAAUCUAACCUUGCCUUGGGCGUGGACCAAAACAACCAAAACACGGGGCAGCGGAGCAAUGACGACACCAUCCAUCCAUGUAUCAUUGAUGACACUUGAAAACUGAAACGACCCUGAUAAACAGAGUUUCCUGGUGGUAAGGAUGAGACAGGUUCAUUAUCAUAUUUUUCAGGUUUUAGAGCAUAUUCUAAGAUAAGAGCAUCCAUAUUGUCAUUAUUAAUUAAUGGUUAGUGCAUUUGCAAGUAAAAUUGUUGAAGCCAUGAGGUGUAUAACUACAUAGGACUUUUUUGGUAGCUCCAGAUUGGCAGGUAUUGCAUUUGAAAUACGCUAGGUGUAGUAGUUUAAGGCACCAUCAUCAAGAUAACAUCAUUCAUGUGUUCUGUGGUCUCUUUGCCAUCAAAUUAUAUGCUUGGGUUUUCUAGGACGUCUAUAUUUGCAUCUCAAAUGUUGAUGCUUUGCCUGAUUACAACAAUUGCAUUAACCUUGAUUAAUGAUAACCUUGCAUGUCAUGUAAGGAAGAAGAGUGAAGCGAUUUAUGCAUAAGAAUGCCUACCAUUUACAGAUCUGUACCGAAAACAAAAGCAUGAGUGAUAGUGAUAGGGACGCAUACAAAAGCUAUGACUCAAUCCUUGGCACGAGUUCCCGAUUUAAACCAAGUGUUAUUUGCAUAGCAAAGGACUUUAUUUUCAUAUAAAAUUAUUAUAGAUCAAUCUUUAAUGUGGCAGAACCAUAAUUUCAGAACAUAACGCCAAUUAGAGUGCAUUUCAUCCACCUUCAGCAUUGUAAAUCAAGAUAAACAAUGGAGGCCAAGAUAAACAAUAAGUAACGCCAAAAUACUGAUCAUCAACUUAGUGUUUUGUUAAUCGUUCUAUACCAAGCAUGAAUGUUGUUUACACUCUUAUCAUAACUGAUAAAAAAGAUGCAUCCCUAGAACUUAUUAGGCCAAUAAACCAUACAAUGUGAUUUCUUAGGUACUUAGAAACCUCUCAUAGGUUAGUCAAAAGCUCUUUUAUUGAUUUAGAUGUAGUAACCAAGUCAUUGUGUACCUUUUGGCAAGUUCAUGCAUUAUUGCAUCAGCUUUGAGGUCCAUCAAUCAAAACAAAUCCCAAGCACAUGAACUGAGCGAAUACCUGAGAGAACAAAGGAAUAGGUGAGUGUUAUCUAUACAAAAACUAAGACAAUGAAGUAGAAGGGAUAAUUAUUUACAACAGAAGGAAUGGUGGAGUAUAAUAUCUCUACUCGACUCCGAAUUAGCAAAAUAAGAAGACAUGGAAAGGCACUUGAAAAACAUCAUAGCGAAGUUCUUGAGACACUUGAAAAA
rnacentral:lncRNA from 1 species